rnacentral:other from 2 species
GCGGUGCUGCGGGGUGCGUCAGGAGAAUUUUUCCCCGGGGCCUUAAUGAUCCUGAAGGGAGCUGUCCCUGACCCGGUCCGUGGACCGGGACACACGGCGCCCACCUACGCUGUAGGUUCCCGGGAUCGCAUCUCCAACGGCCAUCGCGGCACCGCA